UACGUAGGGGGCAAGCGUUGUCCGGAGUUACUGGGCGUAAAGCGCACGCAGGCGGUCUCUUAAGUUUGGAGUGACAGUUGGUGGCUUAACUGCCAAAGUGCUUCGAAAACUGAGAGACUUGAGGGCUUCAGAGGGACACGGAAUUCCGGGUGGAGUGGUGGAAUGCGUAGAGAUCCGGAGGAACACCAAAGGCGAAGGCAGUGUCCUGGGGAGUACCUGACGCUCAGGUGCGAAAGCCAGGGGAGCGAACGGG
rnacentral:rRNA from 1 species